CCAAACAAAAACAAAACCAAAGAAACCCAAACCCAAAGCAACCACUAUUACUUGUAUUACAGUAGUACCUCAAAAACCCCAGAGAGAUUGAAGAUCUGUUGUACUAAGAACUUCACAGGUAGUUACAGAUAAUUGUUCCUUCAAAGGAAUUAGAUGCAGGAGGCAAAGCUACAAAUGUAAACUUCAUUUUCUCAAAGUUGCAGAGUUAAGAUUGGUGGCAAGAUGAGGAGUUCCUGUGAAGGCUCCUGAUUAUUGGCUCAGCAAUCAACGAAAUCAAUGAAAAUUAUGAUUUCUAGGAAACCAGUUUGUUGCAUUACUACAGUGAAUUCUGUCCUGUCUUUUGGCAUAAAACUAAAGGGAAGAGAAUGUCAUCCAGCAGCAAGGUGCCGAGCCCAGAGUCUGUCUGUCUACCCAAGUGAGGAGGGUAAGGAAGUAGCUUGCUUGUCCCUGCAGAAUAUGGAGAACUUUUCCACAGAAGAUGGAAGGUCCAGAUAGACAGGUGUUGUCAAAGAAACUGAUGGUGUCUGUUACCUAGACAGGAAGAGCUCAAUGAAAAAAGCGAGAUGACCACAAAGAGGGACUUUGUAGAGAUCAUAGCAGAGAAAUAUUUGCUGGAGCAUGAAACAGUGAACCAAGACUGAAUCCAGUACCUUCACUACUUCACAAGGACACCGCUGGAGUCGUCACUAUCUCCACCACUAUUAGCACUAGAAUGGACUUCAUGGUUACUGGUUGUGUACCAUACAAAUCACAAAGUAGCUUCUACUUACUCAUUGUGAAAGUGAAUGAGCAGUUGAUUGUACGGUAUAAUUACAAUGUAGUAUUUCCAGCUGAAUUGGCCCACAAGGCUCGAUUUACAGGUUAAUGAUGAGAGAUAUCUCUACCCAUAUGGAAAUAAAGGUGUUUUGUUUCUUUAAAACUCUUUCGUAAACACAAGCCACAUAGUGGCUAACCGUAAACAGUUUCUGUGUCUCUUGAAUAGUAAAGCACUUUUUAUCUUUUUCUGCAAAGCUUUACCCUCCAUGAAAGGAAUUUGCAAUGGUGAAGCUCUAAAGGUUCAAGGUUGAUGGGGUUUGUUUGAACUUUGAUAGGAAAAAGUAAUUUAGAUAUUGAACUGAAUUUCGCACCAGAUAAAUAUCUCAUGUGCCUUCAUGUUUCUCACCAAGAAACAAGCCAAAGCCAUUCUUAUAAGACAGCAUUUAUUGUUGUUUAUUUUCUCCACUUUUGAGGAAGAAAGGAGUAAAAAAAGAUGAUACUCUGUUGUGAUGCUUGAUACUCUAAUACUUUGCCCACAUGUGUUGCUAAUACCAUGCUCUCUGUGACAUCUUGAAAUAGAAACUUGAGAUUUUUCGUGGGGUUUUUUUGUUUUGGUUUGGUUUUCUUUUUG